rnacentral:misc_RNA from 1 species
CUUCUUCUUGUUCUUCUUCUUCUUUCCUUGCCUUCAGUUCCAGCCCUCCCUGGAAGUACCAUGUGUUCUUGAGCUUCACGUAUGAAGAUAAUCACCAAAAUUUUGUUGGUUGUUUUUAUAAAAAGUUAAUCCAAAAAGGACUAUACGCCAUCAAAGAUAGUGGACAACGAGAGAGAGGCAAAUCAUCUUCACCAGAAUUUAAUCUGAAAGCCAUUGAAGAAUCAAGAUUUUUGGUCGUUGUCCUCUCUGAAAAGUAUGUUUCUUCCUCUCGGUGCAUGGAUGAACUUGUUAAGAUCAUGGAAUGCUGGGAGACAAUUAACGGACAAGUAGUUGUACCCAUUUUCUAUAACGUUGAUCCAUCUGCUAUAAUCGAGUUCCAGAGAGGCAGUACUGCAGCAGAAGCCUCUGUGAAGCUCGAAGAAAAUUUCAUGGAGGAGAGGGAAAAAAUGCAAAGAUGGAGGGAAGCUCUAACAAAAGUGGCCACCACAACAUACGGUUGGGUUUCACGUGGAUGGUAAUUUUAAAAUCUUAAUUUAUUCCAUUGUUCUAUUAAUUAACCAAGUUAAUUAUAUUUUAGAUCAUCGUCAAGAGUUUAAAUUAGAAAUAAAUUGAUAUUUUCUUUUUGGUAUUUCAGAAAUAUUUUAAGGGGAUGGAGAUGUUGGGGUUUGAACCUUAGAUCCUUUAAUAUUUCUCUUAUUUUUCCACUUUUGUUGGUAAUUAGAAUUUUUUUUAUAUAAUAAACUUUGAUUAUGCUAAAGGCAAAUGAUCAGGUAAUGACUUUAACCACUCAAUUCGUAAUUGAGAUAGCAUUAAUUGUCCUUUUAACAUAUAGUGAAAAAGUUGCAGUAAUUAAUUUUGGAUUUUUCUGUGUUUUAGUUUUUACAACUUCAUCCGAGUCUGAUUCAACUUCAUAAUCUAGCUAUGGCUAUCCUUUUCACUUACAUCUAUACAGUUUGAUUACAGUAAUUAUGUAGGUAUGUCGAGCUAGGCGUUAUAGCUUGGCAUUAACGCCCAGGACUAGAAAAACAUGCCAGGGGAGUAUGAGUUCAUGAGUUGCUUUGAUUUUUAUUUAUUUAUUUUU